GAAAAGUCAAAGUUCGAACCUUGGAUUAUUCCAGUUUUAUCAAAUUGUACUUAUCCGAGGCACAAAACACAAAACACAACCCAAAUUAAGUAGUUGAAUACAAGUUUAAAGAUGGAAAGUUUUCUAUUUGUUGUUUCCACUAAUCAAGUGCAUCAUGUACUUUAAUGUAAACAUUUUUCUUCUUCUCGUCGCUGAAUCUUCUCCUGCUAUUCUACCUGUUCGUAUGGAGAGAAGCAAAAAAUUUACAUUUAAUCAAGGUUACUGAGCGGUUAUCAUGGCUGGCAAAGAAUCUGACUCAAAGAUAGUGGAAAAAAGUAGGAUCAAUCAGUUGGAAUGAAAGAUAAAAUCAUGGUUAACUUGUCAAAAAGGAAAUUUGGUUAUCUUUUCAUUUUAAUUUCAUGAUUAUUCAAUCACUUCACAGGGAACAAUUUCUUUCAUUAUUAUAAUGCUCGUUAUUACCAUUUACUCUUGUGGCUUAAUUUUAAAUUGGCGUUAAACUAAAUUUAUAUUUGUUUCAGUUUCAGUUUCUCUUCUGCUAAUUGUCCAGCUGAUUAACAUGUAUGGCUAACCAUUCAACAUGACCUUAGACCAUUUAUUGGCCUUCAAUUUUAUUGAUCUUUGAUUUGCAUACUUUGCGUUUAUAAAAAUAUCUUAUCGUUUCCAAUCCUGGGUUUCAUUGUUCUCAGUUUAAUUAUGUAAGUUUAUAUAAUCCGUGCAGCUCUACCUUCAACAGUACGUGUUUACUAAUCACAGUUACUCAAUAAUCUCGUAAUUAAAAGGUGUUUGAUUUGAUAAGAUAUUGGUUUCUGGUUCAAUUGAUGGUUAACCAUUAAUUUAUGCAAAUUAACCAGAAUAUUGAUUUCAUUUUUUUCACAAUUUGAUAAGCGAAAGGUUAGAGUCGAACUGUUGAGGUUUUAUCAUCAGAAUACCAUGAAAAGGUUCAAUCAAGUCUAUUAACAUGUUAAAUUUAAUGUUAAUAACAUUUUUAAAAAAUGAUUUAAAAUUUAAAAUAUUUGAUUGAAUAUUGUGAUAAAAGUUACAUUGGUGACUUCAGAUAGUGAUGAGUCUAAUAAACUUUAAAGCUGAUUUUUCACCAAUUAAUGUAACAUGUGACUAUUGAAUUUCAUUCAACAAGUCCAUGGUGAGUACAAUUGAAAUGAAUCAGCACUAACAUUGUAAGAAGUCUAGAAUGGGAUAGAAACUAUUUCCAAAGCAUCAACUCUGGAAAUAGAAAUGGACUUUGAAAAAUGGCCUUAAAAUGAUUUGAUUUAAGGAGCUUUUUAUUAAACUAAUAAUGAAUUCAUAUAAAUCACAGUUUAUGGAAAUCUUUUAUUGAAAUCAUCAUACAUUAUCCAUAAUUAUAUUUGAAAUUAAUCAGCUUGAAGUGGACUUUAAACCAGACUAAACAUAGAUGGCUAGCCAGCAAUUAAUUGUUAAUAUUAUUGUAGACAAUGAAAAUAACAAAAUUCAAUAGCAAAAGGAUUAUUUUAAUGUCUGAAUAACAUCUUCUGGAGCUUUUCUGGUGAAAAUUGAAGCCUUUUUCCAGACUGAGCGAGCAAUGGCAAAAAGUUUACUAACACAGUUGACAAUAUCAAUUAAUGCUCAUAUUUGGUUUAAAACUUAUGAACACCUUUCAUGUGAAAAAUGAAGUGAUUUCACUAUUUUUUAGCUCUGAAAUUCAAUAGUUAUUUGUAUUAUCUAAUAUAAGGUUUAACUGAUUAAUCUGACUAACCACGAAAUUCAUAGACAUAUUUCCUCAUCAUCUUUGAUCGCCUUUUUGCCGUACAAUCUUCUGUUAUGGUUCAUUUCAAGUUAUAACUAAACUUGAAAAUUGAAAAUAUUUCAUUUGAAUAAGUCAGAGUCAUACGACUGACUGCGUGAUUCGAACCGACUCAGCUGCUUAGCCAGAACAAACCUGCUUUGACUGACUGACUGACUUGAUAUGGCUAACUAUGGGUGUCUAGUGCAUGCAUAUUUCAUUUAAAUUGUAAACAUUAACUCUUUUUAAUCUUUAAAUCAAUUUUGGACUUUGAAUUAUUCGAUAAAUACUAAUUUUCUUCUCGUGGACGAAAAGAGGUUUAAAUUGGUUUCAUUACCAUUUCACGGUUACUCCUAUGUGUGAAAGUCGAAAGAAAUAGAAAGUAAACAGCAAUUGUAUCAUCCGAACCACACGAUGUGAUAACUUGCCUCGAUCUUCAACUAAAUCAAUAAUUUGUCAUCAAACUCAACAGGAAUUAUGAGGGAUUAAUUCUGGUCUAUCAAAUGUUAACGUUAACGUUAUCAAAGUGGUAAAUUAAAUAUAAAUGCUGAUGAAAUGAACAAACUGAAGCUGAAAAUAUCCUGAUCCAAUAGACUCCAAUAAAAAUCCUUAUAAACAUCGACUUAAGCGUCUUUCAUCCAUAAGUGUUAUCCUCAACUGGGAAUAUACCGUUUAAAUCAACAUUGUUUAAGUUGCAAAUCGCAAGUGUUGAUUGUUUUUACACAGCUGUUAUUGUCUUAAGGAUAGAUAGUCUGUUCUGGUAGAUUCUGGUUUCACUAAUUUGCACCUAAAGUCAGAUGUGAAGCAUAAAGUCAGUAUUUUUGCAGUUAUCAUGAGAUUUGUUCAGAAAAUUUAAAGGCUGGAAAAAUCCUUUACUACUAUUAAUACUUAUCAUUUCCUUAAUCAACAUUUCCUUUCCUAAGAGAUUCAGUACUUGUACCUGGUUAUCAUAGUAUAAUUGAAUAAUAUUCACAGGUUCAACGUAAUGAAGACUGUUUUUGGCCUAAUUCAAUAUUAUUAAUCAUCUGAUGUUUUUAUUUUUCAUUCAAAAAUAUUGAUUUCGUCAUUUUAUGGAUCAAAUGUUGUUGAUCCUCUUAUACAGUUUAUUGUAUUAUGAGGCAAACAUAUCACAAAGCAAUUGCAGUUCAACAUACUGUGAAGUCAGUUUUUAUUUUUGGUUGCUUACUUGUAUUCAAUUUACACUUUCAACUCUGUAAUCACCUAAUCAACUAAUCUAGUAAUAACUACUGUUGAACUGUCGUCAUCCUGCUAAUGAUGCUACCGAUGGUGAUUAAUAACAAACAUGAUGAUAACUUGUUAUGGGAUAUCUUGAAAAGGUAAAGAUCAACCAAUUGAACAGAAUGACAUGAAAUCAGAAAUAGCAUCAUCAGCACUGAAUUAUAAUUAACAAAUCUUUGAAGUACUAGUUUCACAAUUAAUCAAUUCAUUAACCUUGUUUUUGAUUAUUACAAAAGCUAAAAAUACAUUUCAAGUAAAAUUUUUUGUUGUCAUAAUUUAUCAUUCAAUAAUCGAUUAAUUGAUUGUAUCAAUUCUUUAAGUCCAAUCUUAUGCAAAAGUAUCUAUCGGUAUCCAUUACCUAAAUCUGUGAUUUUAUUAAGUCUCCAUAGAUGACCAACUGUUUACUUUUUGAUGUUAAUUGUGAUUUUAAGUAAAUGUUUAUCAUUCUGUAAAUUGUUGAAAAUUGUGCAUGUAAUGUUUCGAUGAAAUUUAAAAUAUUAAUCUAUUGUGAGGCUAAUUUGGUGGCCAACAUUUAACUUGAAACACCAACUCUGUGUAGGCUAACUUAAGGAGUUAUUUAGUCAACACCUACAUGAGUACAAUUUUAAUUCACAAUUUAAAUUCAGUCCAACUAAUGUUCUCCCUAUUCAACAAUUAUUACAAUUGUGAAUAUUUAAGCGUCGGAGUAUCAUCAUCAUCAUCACCACCAUUAUUAUCAUUAUUAUCAUCAUUAACAAAAAUUAAUGCUGUGAACAAUUAAUGCAAAAGUAAAAGUGUAGGUCAGUAAAGGAUAUUAGGCGUAUCAUUACAAUAUGAACGUCCAAGAUUUCAAAACAUCAACUACCAGCUUCAAAAGUGAUCGCAAUUAAAUAUAAUAAUAAUCACAGGGAACAAGUGAUUAACCAGAAAGACUAAACUGUUCAUCUUUAGGAAGAUGAACAUUGAUCCAUUGAUGAAAGUAGAUGAGUUCAUCUCAACAAAAUGCAACAAAAAAAACCGGGAAACACCAUUCUUGUAACAAUUUUAACGUCAAAAUUUUUUGUAUUAUUGUUCAUUUUUUGGUUGAUUAAUGGAUGACAAGGAAACAAGUUGCCCAUUUUAUUACAAAGUAUCAAACUCAAGAUAUUAUAAUCAAGUUUAUUUACUGUUACUUAUUAAGUGAACGCAUUAAAACAAAGUAACUCAUGAGCUGAUAUCUGCUGCAACCCAAAAGGUAUUAUUAAUAACAACAUCAACAGGCUAAUUUAAGCUAAAACAUCAGUCCUUGGUUAUCACUUGAAAAGAAACCCAAAAUUGCUUCAUUUUACUUGGAAUAACUCAACUCCUGAUUGUCAACUGUUUUCAAAUUAACAUUGAAACUGUUCAAGUUUAAGGAUUUCUGGUUUGUCACAAUCUUCAAGAUUAAUAUCAAUUUAACACCAGAACCAAAAGACUAAAACAAAAAACUGGUUAAGCCAAGAAACUGGAGCAAAUGAUGCCAAAAAUUGUAGACACUUUGAUCAAUGGAGAUGAAGAUGAUGAAAAUGGUGAUUAAGAUGAUGUAAAAAAAGGAGACAAAAUAUCGUUAAUUUUACCACUUUUUUAACUAAAAAUUUUACCAAUCUUCAGAGGAACAUCAGAUUGGUGUUUUAUUUUUUGAGACAAAAAAGUAUCACAUUGACAGGUUAACCUCUCUGUGAGUUGAUUAAAUUAACUAUAACUAAUUUAACUCGAAGGUUAUAACCAAAGGGCUGUUCCAUUGGUACAUAAUCACCACAGUUUACUAACAAUCAAUUGAUCUCACGAUUGAUUGAAACUAAUUUAACAGUUUGACAGAUUUCUUUGGCAUGUGAAUCAAGGAUUUUACCAUGAGCGUCAUCAUUCAUCCAUUCACCGGAGGUAACCAAGUUACUGAGAAGCUGAUGAAGAUUUUAAAGCAAUCAGAAUCAAAGGAUCUCUCGAAAGUCAAGUUGAUUGAUAAACAUUGGUAACAAAGAAAAGUGAUUUUCAUUUGAUUUGGAUAAAGAUGCAAAUGUUUGACCCAAAGGUUGCUAAUGACAAUUGGAUUAAUUCAAUUAUGAUUGCAUUUCCAGUCAUUAAUCAAUAACGGUUAAAAGCUAAACGGAUUAAGGAUGGUUUAAAGGAUGAUUGUAAUUUUGGUUAAACAAGCAAUUUGUAUGGCAAGGAGGAGGCUUAAUACUAUUGUUGAUGGUUAUUAUUAUUUAUCAUCAAUUUGUUCUUGAACUUGAUUAAAUUUCAACUAUUAAGUGGUUGAAAUUAAUAUUCACAGUAAAUAAUAAUAAUAACAACAACAGCAAUCGUAUAAAUAAUAAGGCAAGAUGAUUGAAAGCAAAAUGGUUGAUAAAGUUAAUCAUAAUCUCAAUGUUUAAAAGGUUUUUUAAGGUGAAAGUGAAAGUGAAAGUUAACCGAAUAUGCAAAAUGGUAAGGAAAGAAAAACAUUGAUUAUAUUAAUUUGUAAUGAUCAAUAGUGAAUGUACUUUACGUCAAUCAUAAUAAUGAUUAAAGGUCCAAAUUGAUGAUGAUUGGGAUUGUUGAUUUAAAUGGGUCAAAUGAACGAUGAUGAUGAUUUAACCGUGAGUUGAAGUACAAUAAGCAAAUAGUGAAAGUAAAAUAUGGGAUAAACAAAAGUCUUUUUUACCCGAUUUCCAACUGAAUCAACUGUUUACUAUCAAAAAUAAUUGUUAAUUGUUGAUCGUGAUUUACAUGAAAAUCAGAUCAUCAAUUGUCAUUGUCAAUGUUUGUUUCAUAAUAAUCAAUGUUUAAUUGCUGUAAACAAAUAGGAAAUUGAAGAAGAAGAAAAAAUUGAAAUUGUUUCUCCCAAAAAAAUCCAAGACUUGGGUUAAAACCAAUGUAAGCGUAGGUAUUAACUCAACCUAUUUAAUUGUAUUAAUUGUAACUCUUCUUCGUACAAUCAAUAUUAUCAUCAUUACCAUCAUCUUCAUCAUAAUCACCAUCAAGUCAACAUUUAAUCAACACCCAACAAUUGAAAUAAUUAACUUGCUCUUCUUCAAACGUUUCUUGCUCUUGCUUAACUGGAUCAACCCAAAAGAUUGAAUAACUAAAUGGUCAACAAUUAACCCUAAAAGGAUUUUUGCUCAUUCUUUGACCUUAACUAUGUUAAUCAUUUUAACCAUUUGACAAUCAUAUAUAGAGUUGAAUGUUGAAUACCGAUCAAUGUUGAAUCACACAAUUUAGCUAAAAGCUCAAUUUCAACCUUUCAUUUUCACCUGAUAAUUAAAUUUUCCCAUGAUAAUAAC